GGAGGCGGGGUGCUGGUGAUGUUCAGAGGGCUGGAGCCCGAGCUGGAAGGAGAGGAGCCUCUGAUCCUAACGACGUGAAUAAGCAAAGAGGUUCAAAAUAGCCCCGAUGUUGUUCCACACAUAAUGCAACACAUACAAUAUAAAAGGCAGCGCUAAAACAUUUAUGCUGUAAAAGUGCUGAAAUUGUGUUGACAAAAAUAACCCGGCCUCGUUGCAACAUUUCUGUAUUUGCUUCUCUAAGCGAGCGUUGUGGCAUUCCGCCACUUAAACCUCGGGCCGGGCGGGUCUGAGGUGGGGUGAUUGACGGCGUGUACCGCAGCUACCCACUGAGUGGCGACGAAGAGCAUCACUCUCUCCCCAAUCAGCGAGCUUGGGGGACACCUGGCCGGAGGCAGAGGAGCCAUUUUAAAAGGAGCAGGAGGACUGACAUUUGGAGGGCGGGAGCGAGGAAGAAGGAAGCGCUCUGGUCCGCGAGCGACUAGAGGCCCACGGAGGCCCUAGAGACCGCAAUUACAUUUUAUGAUUUAAGUUGUAUGCAAUAAAUGCCGAAUGCGGCUUAACCCUCGCUCAAGGUGUGAUUCAUACGUGGAACUCGGCCCAUUGGGGCAGCUGGGUGCCACAGCAUAUGAAAAAGAAAACCUGGACAGGAAUGAUGAGUGGAGAUCACUUUGUGUUCGGGGCCUGGACCGGCGGUCGUGUCUCACCUCUGGAUCUCCAUCACCUCUUCUGCGAUCAUGCGUCCUAUCUUCCCGGCCCCGGCCCUCGUGCCCCCUGGGAUUCCAGGAACUGUCUGCAGCACCCUCCGGCCCCCGCCUACGUCCACAGAACCAACCAGGAGGACAUUGUUCAUUGUUACAGCAGCAUGCUUGGAGAGAGAGUCCAUUCAUUACAAUGUUUUCCCGAAGUAACAGUGGCUGUGCUUGUGGACCUGAAGCGAGCAGCAGGACAGCUGAACACAGAGGGAGAGCCGUCAACACCAAGGUUCACCUUAGGCAGAAGAAGGAGCGUCGGGCCCCAGAGCAGAGCCUGGACGGGCUGGGGGCGAUGUCCGUCUUCACCGGCAGACCCGCUGCAACGCACCACCAAGAAAAGGCCAUGAGAUUGACACAUGAACGCAGUGGCUCUUCUCCAGGUCGCUCCUUUGGGACCAUUGGGCUUUAACUCUGGUUUGAACUGUUAACGUUAAACCAAGGUCUUCAUGUGCUGCACGGCCAUGCGCAGGACCGUCAGCUUGUCCAGUUUCCUGGACAUGGCGUUGCAGGUGGGCACCAAUGACGCCAGCUCGUCGAUGAAGCUGUUCAUCUUGUCCCGCCUCCGUUUCUCAAUCUGACUGUGGGCCUCCCUAUGGGACAAGGCGUGGGAGAAUGGAGCCAUGUCCAGGCCGGGUGUGCUGGUGGUGUUGGAGAUGAGGUCGGUCGAGCCGGAAGACAUGAAGUCGGUCAUGGUAGACGAGAUGUCCAUCCUUUGGUCAGCCAUCAGAUCAUCUGCAGCCAAGAAGCAAACACCUCUGCUAGGAGAACAGCUUUUGAAAGAGAAAACAAUGAAAUGGACCAUUUCUUAACUGCCAAUAUAGAGAAGGCCAAUCAAAUAUAAAUAUUGUAUGAUUCUGAUAGGCGAAAUAAGUGAUAUAUUUAACAUAAAAAAAUUAAUUAAAAUAUAGAGGAUAGAGACCCCAAUUUGGGUAAAUCCUCUGACUGGGGCGACCAAAGCUCAAGAGGUGUAACAACAGCUGCUCUUUGAAUGAAACAAAAAGAUGUCACACUCACCACAGAUGUUCAUCACUGCAUCUGUACUAAAAUCAUCUCCUUCCAUCCACUCUGAAGACCUUGACUGUGGAGGCAAAACAAAUAAACCGGAUAUAAGAAGUUAAAACUAGGUUUGCUUCA